rnacentral:rRNA from 1 species
UACGUAGGGACCGAGCGUUGUCCGGAUUCAUUGGGCGUAAAGAGCUCGUAGGCGGCUGCUCAAGUCGAAUGUGAAAACUCGAGGCUCAACCUCGAGCCUGCAUUCGAUACUGGGCGGCUAGAGUCUGGUAGGGGGAUCUGGAAUUCCUGGUGUAGCGGUGAAAUGCGCAGAUAUCAGGAGGAACACCAAUUGCGAAGGCAGCUCGCUGGGACGUAACUGACGCUGAGACGCGAAAGCGUGGGGAGCAAACAGG